rnacentral:rRNA from 1 species
UACGUAGGGUGCGAGCGUUACUCGGAAUUACUGGGCGUAAAGCGUGCGCAGGCGGCGGCUCAAGUCAGGUGUGAAAUCCCCGGGCUUAACCUGGGAAUUGCGCUUGAAACUAGGUCGCUAGAGUGUGGCAGAGGGGGGUGGAAUUCCACGUGUAGCAGUGAAAUGCGUAGAGAUGUGGAGGAACACCGAUGGCGAAGGCAGCCCCCUGGGUCAACACUGACGCUCAUGCACGAAAGCGUGGGGAGCAAACAGG